UUUCUCUUCUGCUCUAUGGGAAAUAGGUAGAAGCUUUUAAGCAGCAUCACAGAAGCAUAGGUGGGUAGUCCUCUCUGCACAGAAACUAUCGUGUGUGUUAAUUACUAUAUGAGACUUUUGUUUUUGAGCUUUAGCUUGAUAGAUUCUGGACAAAGUAGCAGCUUACAAUUUUACAAUUUCAUGUGUUUGGUCUCUACAUGUGGAGACCAUCAAUUUUGAUCACAAGAUUAUAUCCAAAUUAAUGUAUGUUGGUUUUUGUUUUUUUUUUUGUUAUUUUUUUACAUUUAUUCCACUAAUUGUCACUGUGCAUUUUGGUCUCUCAGAAGAACUCUUAAAAUUGCUGACUUUCCCUUGAUGUACUUGGAAAACAUCGUUUAUAUUGUCAUUCCCUCCACCACUUAAAUUUCUUAUAUUCGUGAUCUAUUACAUCUGAACUAUUCCUCUGUGGUUGGAACCUGAUAAGCAGUAGUUUCACAAGACAGCCUGCAGCUAAGAGUUGAUGUUCCCAGGCAGCCUUCACCUGCUGGCAAGAGUUAUUCUCUACCACAACAAUUGAUCAGAGAAAGAGAUGUACAUAAUGACCUGCUUAGUGUACAUCAAACCUGAAAUUGUAGUUAUUAUAGUGCUCACAGUCACUAUGCUAGUUAGAGCUAAGCCUACUCUGAGCUAGCAGUGUAAUUGAUGUUAUAUGGUGGUGCUAAGGAUUUCUUUGUGUUGGUAUUUUGCUGCAGUUUCUCUGUUUCAUUUAGUGACACUAUUUUCAAAGCACAUGUGAAAAAACAUCUUGGAUGUGAAUUGUAAUUUUAUCAUAGCUCACUAGCAUUUAAUGUCUCUGAAAAUUCGUAGGUGUCAAUAUUGGCCAGUAUUGCAUGGAGCGUUGUGCAAUAUUCCAGACUGAACUGACUGAGGAGUGGGAGGUUUCUGGUGAUUUCCAAUUCUGCCAGUGGUUCCGACAACAUUGCAGCUCAUCAGCUCAUACAAUUGAAGACAAUACCUGCUUUCCUCACAAAUAA
rnacentral:lncRNA from 1 species